UCUGGACUGACCUACAGGAUCAAGGCUAAAGGAUCCUUUGGAGUUUAGGUUGGAAGGUUGCUUGUGAACAUGUAGUGCCAUCUGGGCCUGCCCAAGGGGCAUGGGUAGGGAUGUGGAAUGGGGCUGGCUCAGCAGGUGCAGUUAUUCCAUCUUUCGUGGAAUAAACAUUUUGGAUUCCUGAUCAUCUCCAGGGAUGCCUGGUGGCCAUCUCUUCCAGAUGGAGCAGCCUGAUUUGAAUGAGAGGUAUGCAUCUUGUCAAGAUUCAUUCCAGGGUGUGCGGCAGGAUCAGUGGUGCAAGCCCAGUUCUUGGCCAGAGCCCCAGUGUCCG